GCGGAGGUGCUGGAAUAGGCAGACAGGCAUGUUUGAGGGGCAUGUGAGCUUUGCUCGUGAGGGUUCAAGUCCCUUUCUCCGCA
rnacentral:tRNA from 1 species